CCUACGGGUGGCAGCAGUGGGGAAUAUUGGUCAAUGGGCGCAAGCCUGACCCAGCAACGCCGCGUGAAGGAAGAAUGCUUUAGGGUUGUAAACUUCUUUUGACAGGGAAGAGUAGAAGACGGUGCCUGUCGUAUAGUCCACGCCUAACUACGUGCCAGCGGCUGCGGUAGUACGUGCGGGUCAGGUGUUGUUCGGAAUGACUGGGCGUUAAGGGUGUGUAGGCGGGGUAGCAAGUUAGAAGUGAAAUACCUAGAGCUUAACUCAGGUUUUGGAUCUAACACUGCUAGACUUGAGUUCAGUAGAGGAAAGUGGAAUUCGUGGUGUAGCGGUGGAAUGCGUAGAUAUUAGGAGGAACAUCAGUGGCGAAGGCGACUUACUGGACUGUAACUGACGCGGAGGCACGAAAGUGUGGGGAGCAAACAGGAUUAGAUACCCGAGUAGUC
rnacentral:rRNA from 1 species